rnacentral:lncRNA from 1 species
GGAGGAAGCUCCGGGCGGGAGAGCCGCGUCCACUCCUCUUUCCAGACUAUGAUGGGGCCCAGGGACCCCUCCCCUCCGACUGAGCCCCAUAGACCCCCUACUCAGGCCAGAAGGGGAAAGCUGAGCUCCUGCUGGCCCAGGCAUCAGAAUUCCUCAGGGAGGAAAAGUUGCCUAUCUGUUGGGUCAGAUUUCUGAAGACUGAUGAGGCCCAUUUUCUGACAAACGGCAAGAGUUUAGAAAGUACCAGUGACGUGCCUGAUAGAAUCUCACCACAAGAUGGAAGCCAACUCGUCAGAAGCCUGGAAAGCCCACCCAGCGUGGGACCUCUGUGGGUCCAGGAUCUUGGAAUGGUAUCCCAUGGUUCAAUCUUCUGGAUUCAACCACAUAAAUUUACCCCACCCAUGUCGUGGACCCAAGCUUCCUACCAUGUAUACUUAGCUUAAAUG